rnacentral:rRNA from 1 species
GAUGAACGCUGGCGGCGUGCUUAACACAUGCAAGUCGAACGAAUUUUAAGGAGCUUGCUCCUUAAAGUUAGUGGCGGACGGGUGAGUAACGCGUGGGUAACCUGCCCUAUGCAGGGGGGAUAACGUUUGGAAACGAACGCUAAUACCGCAUAAACUAUGGAGGUUCGCAUGAGCCUUAUAGCAAAGAUUAUAUCGGCAUAGGAUGGACCCGCGUUGGAUUAGCUAGUUGGUGAGAUAACAGCCCACCAAGGCGACGAUCCAUAGCCGGCCUGAGAGGGUGAACGGCCACAUUGGGACUGAGACACGGCCCAAACUCCUACGGGAGGCAG